AGUCGAGCGAGUCUGCCUUGAAAUCGGAGUGCUAGCACUCUGUGAAACAAGAUACAGGCUAGCGGCGGACGGGUGAGUAACACGUGGGUAACCUGCCCAAGAGAUCGGGAUAACACCUGGAAACAGAUGCUAAUACCGGAUAACAACAGAUGAUGCCUAUCAACUGUUUAAAAGAUGGUUCUGCUAUCACUCUUGGAUGGACCUGCGGUGCAUUAGCUAGUUGGUAGGGUAACGGCCUACCAAGGCGAUGAUGCAUAGCCGAGUUGAGAGACUGAUCGGCCACAUUGGGACUGAGACACGGCCCAAACUCCUACGGGAGGCAGCAGUAGGGAAUCUUCCACAAUGGACGCAAGUCUGAUGGAGCAACGCCGCGUGAGUGAAGAAGGGUUUCGGCUCGUAAAGCUCUGUUGUUGGUGAAGAAGGACAGGGGUAGUAACUGACCUUUGUUUGACGGUAAUCAAUUAGAAAGUCACGGCUAACUACGUGCCAGCAGCCGCGGUAAUACGUAGGUGGCAAGCGUUGUCCGGAUUUAUUGGGCGUAAAGCGAGUGCAGGCGGCUCGAUAAGUCUGAUGUGAAAGCCUUCGGCUCAACCGGAGAAUUGCAUCAGAAACUGUCGAGCUUGAGUACAGAAGAGGAGAGUGGAACUCCAUGUGUAGCGGUGAAAUGCGUANAUAUAUGGAAGAACACCGGUGGCGAA
rnacentral:rRNA from 1 species